GAUGAACGCUGGCGGCGUGCCUAAUACAUGCAAGUCGAGCGAACAGACGAGGAGCUUGCUCCUCUGACGUUAGCGGCGGACGGGUGAGUAACACGUGGAUAACCUACCUAUAAGACUGGGAUAACUUCGGGAAACCGGAGCUAAUACCGGAUAAUAUAUUGAACCGCAUGGUUCAAUAGUGAAAGACGGUUUUGCUGUCACUUAUAGAUGGAUCCGCGCCGCAUUAGCUAGUUGGUAAGGUAACGGCUUACCAAGGCAACGAUGCGUAGCCGACCUGAGAGGGUGAUCGGCCACACUGGAACUGAGACACGGUCCAGACUCCUACGGGAGGCAGCAGUAGGGAAUCUUCCGCAAAGGGCGAAAGCCUGACGGAGCAACGCCGCGUGAGUGAUGAAGGUCUUCGGAUCGUAAAACUCUGUUAUUAGGGAAGAACAAAUUUGUAAGUAACUAUGCACGUCUUGACGGUACCUAAUCAGAAAGCCACGGCUAACUACGUG
rnacentral:rRNA from 1 species